AAAACUUUUCCAAAAGAAAAAUCUUUUAUCGGUUUAAUAUCUGAUACGUCCCCGGACUACUAUAAUUAUAAGUUUUCGAACAGGGAGUCGAAAUGGGGCCUCCGUCCGCUCCACGCAUCGACCAGUUAUUGCAGUACCUCCGGGAGCGGUGCAACACUU
rnacentral:snRNA from 1 species